UACGAAGGGGGCUAGCGUUGCUCGGAAUCACUGGGCGUAAAGCGCACGUAGGCGGAUUGUUAAGUCAGAGGUGAAAUCCUGGAGCUCAACUCCAGAACUGCCUUUGAUACUGGCGAUCUUGAGUCCGGGAGAGGUGAGUGGAACUCCGAGUGUAGAGGUGAAAUUCGUAGAUAUUCGGAAGAACACCAGUGGCGAAGGCGGCUCACUGGCCCGGUACUGACGCUGAUGUGCGAAAGCGUGGGGAGCAAACAGG
rnacentral:rRNA from 1 species